rnacentral:rRNA from 1 species
AGCGAACGCUGGCGGCAGGCCUAACACAUGCAAGUCGAACGAACCUUUCGGGGUUAGUGGCGGACGGGUGAGUAACACGUGGGAACGUGCCUUUAGGUUCGGAAUAACUCAGGGAAACUUGUGCUAAUACCGAAUGUGCCCUUCGGGGGAAAGAUUUAUCGCCUUUAGAGCGGCCCGCGUCUGAUUAGCUAGUUGGUUGAGGUAAUGGCUCACCAAGGCGACGAUCAGUAGCUGGUCUGAGAGGAUGAUCAGCCACAUUGGGACUGAGACACGGCCCAAACUCCUACGGGAGGCAGCAGUGGGGAAUCUUGCGCAAUGGGCGAAAGCCUGACGCAGCCAUGCCGCGUAAAUGAUGAAGGUCUUAGGAUUGUAAAAUUCUUUCACCGGGGACGAUAAUGACGGUACCCGGAGAAGAAGCCCCGGCUAACUUCGUG